GCAAUGCCGCGUGCAGGAAGAAGGCCUUCGGGUUGUAAACUGCNUUUUGUACGGAACGAAAAGGUCUGGGUUAAUACCCUGGGCUCAUGACGGUACCGUAAGAAUAAGCACCGGCUAACUACGUGCCAGCAGCCGCGGUAAUACGUAGGGUGCAAGCGUUAAUCGGAAUUACUGGGCGUAAAGCGUGCGCAGGCGGUUUUGUAAGACAGGCGUGAAAUCCCCGGGCUCAACCUGGGAAUGGCGCUUGUGACUGCAAAGCUGGAGUGCGGGAGAGGGGGAUGGAAUUCCGCGUGUAUGANUGAAAUGCGUACAUAUGCGGAGGAACACCAAUGGCGAAGGGAAUCCCCUGGGCCUGCACUGACGCUCAUGCACGAAAGCGUGGGAAGCAAACUGGAUUANAUACCCUGGUAGUCCANNCCCUAAACGAUGUCCACUGGUUGUUGGUCCUU
rnacentral:rRNA from 1 species